UACGCCGCUCACCAUCAACGUAUUAUUCUAAUCUGAAAUCUUCUUCUUCCUCCUGUGACUUUGUUUCUCUCUGCGCCCAAACCCUAACGCCACCAAGCUUAAUUCAUACGUUCACCGUAUUGCAUGGAACGACAACAACAGCAACCAGAGCAGCGCCACCUCCUCAGUGGCGGAGAUGUUCAUUUACAGCAUAGCAUGGACCUCCUGGGUACACUUUUGCAAUUCUGUUCCUGUACAAACACGGGAGGAGAAGGAUGUUUAUGGUAUUCCUUGAGAGGGCUUGAACAUAAAAGAGGUAUGAGAAGCAAGCCAUUGAAAAGAACAGAGCGAGUGAGAAUCGAAAUCGGCGAUCUCCGUGAAAUUCUCGGAAAGCUCUAACAAGCCAACGAAGAGAGCAAGUCCCUUCACAAACCGGAGCAGGAAGUGGAUGUGUAUUGGGAUUAUCAUUCUUCUCAUCCUCAUUCUGGUUAUUUUCUUCCCCAUCGUUACCAGUCUCACCAGUUUUGGAGAUCCAUUUUAGUUUCGCUCAUGCACAUGUUGUGUAAGGAGUGGAUUGCUCCCAAGCCUAUGCAUGAGGUUUUGCUUGAGGGUGCUUUGCAACAUCAAAUUGAUUAUUUCAGUCAUGGAUCCAAGUCGGAGCUGGGCUGCGCGUUGGUUGCGAAUUGGUUUUUACCCUUCUCAAUUACACAUUUUCUUCAACUUUAAUUACGCAAAAGUUGAAGAAACUCAAGUGCCACUUCGCUUAGACCUUCAACUUCAGUUCUUCAAGGUUUCUUUGAUGCAGUCACUCUUCUGUUGAGGUGGAGGCGCACAAGUGGAACUUGAAUAAAUAUUGUACUAAGCGCUUAGCGAUACAUUGGUCUUUUGUAGGCAUUUGCGUCGCAGUUUGUUUAUUCCUGCAAGAAAUUGGGACUUGAUACCAGAAAGGUCAAUGUCAAUGGUGGUGCCAUUGCUCUUGGGCAUCCUUUGGGCGCUACAGGUGCACGUUGUGUUGCAACUUUGCUGAAUGAGAUGAAGCGUCGGGGCAAGGACUAUCGCUUUGGUGCAAUCUCGAUGUGCAUGGGUGAUUUCUACUUUUGGUCUCUCUCUAUAAAUAACAAGUAAAGCAUAUAUAUAAUCAUUUUUUAAUUGAAAUAAAAAUUUAGUUUAGUGACAAAUGCAUAUCAUGUGGAAGGCAAAUUGAUUGUUUCUAUUCUUCUAAGCUGGCAUUCAAACUUAGUGGCUUGCUUAAUAAGUUAGCAUAAUUAUUUCUAGAAAAGAAGACCUGUUUCAGAAUAGUAAAAUGAAAAGAAGCAUAGGUAAAUAACUUAUGGCAUCGGAGGGUAUUUUCUAGAACCCAAAUGAGUCCUAAAUACUCAAAAUUACCCCUGACUGUAGUGAAUUUAGGAAUCUCUAGCGGUUUAAGUUAUUUUUAUCUAGCACGUAAUGGACCAAAGUAGGACUUCAUACCUACACUUGAAUUCCUAAAUAUUUUAGUCUUGACACAAGUAACUAUGUGAAGGUUUGGAACUAUCUCAUUCUAACCACAACCAUUAAGACUCUAGAGAUUAAGUAUGUUUCAAUAGAUAAAGAUUCAAAGCUUUUAUGGAUUGAUUAAUCAUUAGUUGUUCUGUUUCUGUGCAUAUCUGUGUGCAGUUGAUGAGGUUGUUCAGCGAGCCUGUAUGGACAACAUAUAAUCGACCACAGGAAGAUAACCCUGAUAGAAAGGAAUACAUGAAGGGCUUGAAGCAGAGAGGGAGCGACGAACAUGAGAAGAACCGAGAAAGCAAAGGGGCCUCUGAAAUCUCUGCCAAUAGUCCAAGAAGUAAGAGCUAAGUUCCUUGGAAUCUUAUGGUGAAGAAGGCUAUGUGAUUUUCGUUGCUGGUAGUGGUUGGUGAAAUAGAGCAUCCGUACAGAAGUCUCAAAAGCUUUAUAAAAUGGGUAGUGGCUGGUUUAAUGUGUUCAAGUCAAAGGAUGAAAUGAUGUCUUCAAAAGUCGAGGAAACUACAAGCACUGCAAAGGAAAGGUCAAAACCUCCAACACAUGAAGAAGCACCUUCAAGUGUGACCAAAAAGAAGGUUGCAGCUGCAAAGCAGUACAACUCUUCUGUAUGUGGACAUGGUAGCAAAGAUUCUCACUCUGUAUCUGAUUUUUUUCGUGUUUGUACGGAAACUAAAUUGUGUUGUUAAUGCUCUCAAACAAGUUGAUCUUAAAUGGGACAUAUUGUGCUUUAUAUAGCUUUAGAGCUUUGAUUUUGAUUUAUAAUUUAUACUUUCUAA